rnacentral:rRNA from 1 species
AGAGUUUGAUCCUGGCUCAGAUUGAACGCUGGCGGCAUGCCUUACACAUGCAAGUCGAACGGCAGCACGGGAGCAAUCCUGGUGGCGAGUGGCGAACGGGUGAGUAAUACAUCGGAACNUGCCCAAUCGUGGGGGAUAACGCAGCGAAAGCUGUGCUAAUACCGCAUAAGAUCUACGGAUGAAAGCAGGGGAUCGCAAGACCUUGCGCGAAUGGAGCGGCCGAUGGCAGAUUAGGUGGUUGGUGAGGUAAAGGCUCACCAAGCCUUCGAUCUGUAGCUGGUCUGAGAGGACGACCAGCCACACUGGGACUGAGACACGGCCCAGACUCCUACGGGAGGCAGCAGUGGGGAAUUUUGGACAAUGGGCGAAAGCCUGAUCCAGCCAUGCCGCGUGCAGGAUGAAGGCCUUCGGGUUGUAAACUGCUUUUGUACGGAACGAAAAGUCUCUUUCUAAUAAAGAGGGAUCAUGACGGU